rnacentral:rRNA from 1 species
UACAGAGGUGGCAAGCGUUGUUCGGAAUUACUGGGCGUAAAGGGCGCGUAGGCGGCCUUCUAAGUCAGACGUGAAAUCCCCCGGCUUAACCUGGGAACUGCGUCUGAUACUGGAGGCUUGAGUAUGGGAGAGGGAUGUAGAAUUCCAGGUGUAGCGGUGAAAUGCGUAGAUAUCUGGAGGAAUACCGGUGGCGAAGGCGGCAUCCUGGACCAUUACUGACGCCGAGGCGCGAAAGCUAGGGGAGCAAACGGG